rnacentral:rRNA from 1 species
GUGCCAGCCGCCGCGGUAAUACGGAGGGUGCAAGCGUUAAUCGGAAUUACUGGGCGUAAAGCGUGCGCAGGCGGUUUUGUAAGCCAGAUGUGAAAGCCCCGGGCUUAACCUGGGAAUGGCAUUUGGGACUGCAAGGCUGGAGUGUGGCAGAGGAGACUGGAAUUCCUGGUGUAGCAGUGAAAUGCGUAGAUAUCAGGAGGAAUACCGAUGGCGAAGGCGGCCGGCUGGGCUGUACCUGACGCUGAGGCGCGAAAGCGUGGGGAGCGAACCGGAUUAGAUACCCGUGUAGUCC